UGUUGAUGAAUGCAAUACAACAGGAAUCUGUGCCAAUUUUUCAGCAUGUAUCAAUACAGAAGGAAGUUACACAUGCACAUGUCAGCAAGGAUUCCAGUCAAAGUCUGGAAAGCAUAAUUUCACUGAUGUAGCCACUUCUGGAUGUGUAGAUGUUAAUGAGUGCCAGCAAAAUAAAGAAAUCUGUGGUAAUCACUCUAAAUGUGAUAAUACCAAUGGAAGCUACAAAUGCACAUGUCAGCAAGGAUUCCGACCUAAGUCUGGGAAAAAUAGUUUCACUGAUGCUUUCACUUCUGGAUGUGAAGAUGUUGAUGAAUGCAAUACAAUAGGAAUUUGUGGCAAUUUUUCAGCAUGUAUCAAUACAGAAGGAAGUUACACAUGCACAUGUCAGCAAGGAUUCCAGUCAAAGUCUGGAAAGCAUAAUUUCACUGAUGUAGCCACUUCUGGAUGUGUAGGUAAGGGCAUUAUUGUAGUUGUUAAGGCAGACAAAGCUUUACAGUUCUGUAAUGUCUUACAUCUACUACAAAUGUAAUCAUCUGUGCAUUAUUUAUUUGUUCAUUUAUUCAUUUUCUGAUAACCUGUUAAAUCCAGUUCAUGGUUGCAUGGGAGCAGGAGACCUACUUAGCACAGAGAAAAUACAAUGCAGUAAAACAAAAAUCAUGAUUAGGAUGUGAGUCAGUUACAGGUCUCACACAUGCAUACACACUCAUGCCGUCCCAUGCCACACAUAC